rnacentral:rRNA from 1 species
GGUUAAGCGACUAAGCGUACACGGUGGAUGCCCUGGCAGUCAGAGGCGAUGAAGGACGUGCUAAUCUGCGAUAAGCGUCGGUAAGGUGAUAUGAACCGUUAUAACCGGCGAUUUCCGAAUGGGGAAACCCAGUGUGUUUCGACACACUAUCAUUAACUGAAUCCAUAGGUUAAUGAGGCGAACCGGGGGAACUGAAACAUCUAAGUACCCCGAGGAAAAGAAAUCAACCGAGAUUCCCCCAGUAGCGGCGAGCGAACGGGGAGCAGCCCAGAGCCUGAAUCAGUGUGUGUGUUAGUGGAAGCGUCUGGAAAGGCGCGCGAUACAGGGUGACAGCCCCGUACACAAAAAUGCACAUAUUGUGAGCUCGAUGAGUAGGGCGGGACACGUGGUAUCCUGUCUGAAUAUGGGGGGACCAUCCUCCAAGGCUAAAUACUCCUGACUGACCGAUAGUGAACCAGUACCGUGAGGGAAAGGCGAAAAGAACCCCGGCGAGGGGAGUGAAAAAGAACCUGAAACCGUGUACGUACAAGCAGUGGGAGCCUCUUUUAUGGGGUGACUGCGUACCUUUUGUAUAAUGGGUCAGCGACUUAUAUUCUGUAGCAAGGUUAACCGAAUAGGGGAGCCGAAGGGAAACCGAGUCUUAACUGGGCGUUAAGUUGCAGGGUAUAGACCCGAAACCCGGUGAUCUAGCCAUGGGCAGGUUGAAGGUUGGGUAACACUAACUGGAGGACCGAACCGACUAAUGUUGAAAAAUUAGCGGAUGACUUGUGGCUGGGGGUGAAAGGCCAAUCAAACCGGGAGAUAGCUGGUUCUCCCCGAAAGCUAUUUAGGUAGCGCCUCGUGAAUUCAUCUCCGGGGGUAGAGCACUGUUUCGGCAAGGGGGUCAUCCCGACUUACCAACCCGAUGCAAACUGCGAAUACCGGAGAAUGUUAUCACGGGAGACACACGGCGGGUGCUAACGUCCGUCGUGAAGAGGGAAACAACCCAGACCGCCAGCUAAGGUCCCAAAGUCAUGGUUAAGUGGGAAACGAUGUGGGAAGGCCCAGACAGCCAGGAUGUUGGCUUAGAAGCAGCCAUCAUUUAAAGAAAGCGUAAUAGCUCACUGGUCGAGUCGGCCUGCGCGGAAGAUGUAACGGGGCUAAACCAUGCACCGAAGCUGCGGCAGCGACACUAUGUGUUGUUGGGUAGGGGAGCGUUCUGUAAGCCUGUGAAGGUGUACUGUGAGGUAUGCUGGAGGUAUCAGAAGUGCGAAUGCUGACAUAAGUAACGAUAAAGCGGGUGAAAAGCCCGCUCGCCGGAAGACCAAGGGUUCCUGUCCAACGUUAAUCGGGGCAGGGUGAGUCGACCCCUAAGGCGAGGCCGAAAGGCGUAGUCGAUGGGAAACAGGUUAAUAUUCCUGUACUUGGUGUUACUGCGAAGGGGGGACGGAGAAGGCUAUGUUGGCCGGGCGACGGUUGUCCCGGUUUAAGCGUGUAGGCUGGUUUUCCAGGCAAAUCCGGAAAAUCAAGGCUGAGGCGUGAUGACGAGGCACUACGGUGCUGAAGCAACAAAUGCCCUGCUUCCAGGAAAAGCCUCUAAGCAUCAGGUAACAUCAAAUCGUACCCCAAACCGACACAGGUGGUCAGGUAGAGAAUACCAAGGCGCUUGAGAGAACUCGGGUGAAGGAACUAGGCAAAAUGGUGCCGUAACUUCGGGAGAAGGCACGCUGAUAUGUAGGUGAAGCGACUUGCUCGUGGAGCUGAAAUCAGUCGAAGAUACCAGCUGGCUGCAACUGUUUAUUAAAAACACAGCACUGUGCAAACACGAAAGUGGACGUAUACGGUGUGACGCCUGCCCGGUGCCGGAAGGUUAAUUGAUGGGGUCAGCGCAAGCGAAGCUCUUGAUCGAAGCCCCGGUAAACGGCGGCCGUAACUAUAACGGUCCUAAGGUAGCGAAAUUCCUUGUCGGGUAAGUUCCGACCUGCACGAAUGGCGUAAUGAUGGCCAGGCUGUCUCCACCCGAGACUCAGUGAAAUUGAACUCGCUGUGAAGAUGCAGUGUACCCGCGGCAAGACGGAAAGACCCCGUGAACCUUUACUAUAGCUUGACACUGAACAUUGAGCCUUGAUGUGUAGGAUAGGUGGGAGGCUUUGAAGUGUGGACGCCAGUCUGCAUGGAGCCGACCUUGAAAUACCACCCUUUAAUGUUUGAUGUUCUAACGUUGACCCGUGAUCCGGGUUGCGGACAGUGUCUGGUGGGUAGUUUGACUGGGGCGGUCUCCUCCUAAAGAGUAGCGGAGGAGCACGAAGGUUGGCUAAUCCUGGUCGGACAUCAGGAGGUUAGUGCAAUGGCAUAAGCCAGCUUGACUGCGAGCGUGACGGCGCGAGCAGGUGCGAAAGCAGGUCAUAGUGAUCCGGUGGUUCUGAAUGGAAGGGCCAUCGCUCAACGGAUAAAAGGUACUCCGGGGAUAACAGGCUGAUACCGCCCAAGAGUUCAUAUCGACGGCGGUGUUUGGCACCUCGAUGUCGGCUCAUCACAUCCUGGGGCUGAAGUAGGUCCCAAGGGUAUGGCUGUUCGCCAUUUAAAGUGGUACGCGAGCUGGGUUUAGAACGUCGUGAGACAGUUCGGUCCCUAUCUGCCGUGGGCGCUGGAGAACUGAGGGGGCUGCUCCUAGUACGAGAGGACCGGAGUGGACGCAUCACUGGUGUUCGGGUUGUCAUGCCAAUGGCACUGCCCGGUAGCUAAAUGCGGAAGAGAUAAGUGCUGAAAGCAUCUAAGCACGAAACUUGCCCCGAGAUGAGUUCUCCCUGACUCCUUGAGAGUCCUGAAGGAACGUUGAAGACGACGACGUUGAUAGGCCGGGUGUGUAAGCGCAGCGAUGCGUUGAGCUAACCGGUACUAAUGAACCGUGAGGCUUAACCUU